ACGACUGGGCAUUGUCCCCCAGUUCCCCCCCAAAUUUGGGCAUUGUCCCUAAGUCUUCCAACGGACUGGGCGUUGCCCCCGGACAUUGGGGACUGCCCCCCGGGGUCUCGCUCACCUUCAGCAG
rnacentral:other from 1 species